rnacentral:rRNA from 1 species
AGUGAACGCUGGCGGCAGGCCUAACACAUGCAAGUCGAACGGCAGCACAGUAAGAGCUUGCUCUUACGGGUGGCGAGUGGCGGACGGGUGAGGAAUACAUCGGAAUCUACUUUUUCGUGGGGGAGAACGUAGGGAAACUUACGCUAAUACCGCAUACGACCUACGGGUGAAAGCAUGGGAUCUUCGGACCUUGCGCGAUUGAAUGAGCCGAUGGCGGAUUAGCUAGUUGGGGGGGUAAAGGCCCACCAAGGCGACGAUCCGUAGCUGGUCUGAGAGGAUGAUCAGCCACACUGGAACUGAGACACGGUCCAGACUCCUACGGGAGGCAGCAGUGGGGAAUAUUGGACAAUGGGCGCAAGCCUGAUCCAGCCAUACCGCGUGGGUGAAGAAGGCCUUCGGGUUGUAAAGCCCUUUUGUUGGGAAAGAAAAGCAGCAGGUUAAUACCCCGCUGUUCUGACGGUACCAAAAGAAUAAGCACCGGCUAACUUCGUG